CGUCUGUCGUCUACGCGGGGCAUGCCGGGAGGUGAGUCUACAGGUGGGCCGGGGCUAGUCCGGAAGUGUGUCAGAAGGAGUUCCGGUCGCCCGGAAGUGGUCGUCUGCGGCGCGCGGGCACGCCGUGUAGUGGUCGUUCGCCGGCCAGCGCGGGUCACAAAGGGAAGUGUGUCUGGUGACUGGCCUGAGCCACGCCGGGAGGACUGUCUGGCGGGAGCCCCGGGCGCCGCGGGGCGGGAGCAGGGAGGCGGCAGGAUGGUGAAGCUGACGGCGGAGCUGAUCGAGCAGGCGGCGCAGACGCCAACGCCGUGCGGGACCGCGAGCUACAGGGCUAUAAGAUCCCUGUCAUCGAGAAUCUGGGUGCAACUUAUACCAGUUCGAUGCGAUGGACUUUUCUGACAAUGAAAUCCGGAAGCUGGACGGCUUCCCGCUGCUGAGGAGACUGAAGACCCUCCUGGUGAACAACAACAGGAUCCGGGCGACCUGGACCCGCGGGCGUCGCUCAAGUCGCUGACCUCCCUGAGGUAGGAGACGCCCUGUGACAGUGAGUCCUUCACAGUAACCCCUGCCCGGCCUGGACCUUAACACCCAGUGAGGACAGAGGAAUGCUGCAUGGGAACGAACUGGAAAAGCAGAGGAGACCUGUGAGAUGGUGAAGUCCAACUGGCUGUGUGAGUGCAAGCUCUUCAUUCAGCUCUGCUGCCGGCCCCUGGGUGGCGGCCCCUGGAACUCAGCCCGCCGGCCGCAUACCUGUGGGGAUGGGACCCCAAUGUGCACCCCUAGGCCCUGCCUGGGAACCCCCACAUUUACCGAAUCUUGCAACCAAAGUGGAACGUCAAGCAUGUGGCCUUGCCCGUCCCUUCUCACUGGGCUUCCAGCAUCUCCAAGGUCAACCUCAGCCUCCUGCGGGACGGGCCGUCCCCACCUGUGACAGGGCCCAGCCGCCGGUGUCCUCCGCCCAGACUGUAAGCCAGACCGCCGGGCGGGACCUCCUGCUGCCAAACCAGUGUGGGCGUGUGGAUCAGCUGCCUCUUCCGGUUCUCACCGAGGGGAGUCCUGUGAACAGAGAGCCCCAAUAUUUCCCUGGAAAUGCACAUAUCGGCUCCCGGGACCAGGAGUAACCUUUGCCUUAAACUUUCUCUUGAGCUUGGAUGUUUCCAUUCAGUUGGGCUCCACCCUCAGUCCUCACAAAGCCCACGUGUCCCUGGGAGCUGGGCCCCCACCUCAAAGAGGUGGAUCGAACCCAUGACGCCAAGAAAGAUGCCCUCAGAGCAAACACAGUGCUAACCCUAAGUUAAUAAAGAGUAAACAGCCCACA